rnacentral:tRNA from 1 species
UGCAUUGGCCGGGAAUCGAACCCGGGCCGCCCGCGUGGCAGGCGAGCAUUCUACCACUAAGCCACCGAUGC